ACCUCAUUCUCCCUGACCGUCUUUGGAGCCCAUGGCUAUGGCUUCCCCUUACCUACAUAAUUAAACUGUUUUUUUUCCCCUCCUGUUACUAUGUCUUCCGUCAAUCUGAUUCUUAGACCAGCUAGAAGAACCUCGAGGAGCAGAAGAAAUUUCUUCUCCACCGACCUGGGAAAGCGCUGAGGACGCGGAUGGAGGCAAGAGACGCAGAAAUGGAGAGAGAGACGGAGUAGUUCAGAGUCUGCUCCUCAGUGGUUUACGGAACUUCUCCCUCCAGAGCUGGCAGCGGACAGGCCGAGACUCGUGGGAGGCAGCGCGCCCAGUUCUCUCCCGGGACCGCGGAAGAGGGCAGAGCCGUCCGGAGGACGAGCCAGGGAGCGUGCCCAGGGCCGAAAGCCGACCCGUGCCGCAGAAGUGGACCCAAGCCAAGGGCCACAGCGGAAGCAGCUGGUGUUAGACUGCGGGCGGAGAAGGGGUGGGGGCCGGGGCGAGGUGCUGCGGGGAGACGCCUCUGGAGGGGGGGCACCGGCCACCCGCGCCGAGCCAGGCGCACGAGGGUCUCCCAGAGCCGCCCGUCUCGCCACCCUAGAGUCUCUCAAUCCCCCUGCCUUGGCUCCUGCGGCACUUCCGGGCUCCCUCGGUGGCACUCCAGGGGCGAGUACUGGAUGCGGGUGGCCACCUUCCUGGGCUCGGGGACCUGGCACAGCGUGUCAGCGCGCCCGGUGAGAGCGGCAGCCUAGAGCUCAGCCCUGCGGCCGGACAACUUCAGUGGGCGGGGGUAGUGAGGGCCUGGCCCCCUCGAAUUCGACCCACUCCACCCCAAGAGCCCUCCCUUUCUCCUCUCCCCCGAACCCGGAAGCGGGACUUGGGGGUGAAGCCCCCAGGGACGAGGGUCUGGUGCUGCUGCGGCGCGGCACAAGGCGAGACCCCCAUCCCCGCGCGGUCCCUCCCCUCGGGCUAGGUGCGGCCUCGGGUUCCCGCUCCAGCCGGAGCCUGGAGCUGCGGGAGAGGACAGAGGGGGGACUCCCUUUCCUGCUGGCUGAGGUCAUCGGAGCCCCAGAUCUGACCAACAACAGCACACGUGUGAGGAGCCCCAAGUCCUGGUAGCACCCGACCAUGAGCUCCCAGUCCCGAAGCCCUCUGUGUGGAAGCACGUGCAGCAGCCAGGUGUGCUCCCACCUGACUGUGGGUCCCUAGCUCUUGCCAUCACACUGCCUAACAGCCUUCCUGAGGACUGGGAUGUGUGACAGUGCUGCUCCUGAGCCUCCCAGGGCUUUUUUCUGUUUUCCACACAUAAUGUAGUGGUCACUGCAGCAUCUCAGUCUCUCUGAAUCUAACCCCUCAAUAUACUGAGCCUAGGGAGACCAGGCACCCCAAUUCUCCCUCUCCCUUUGUCCAAAUGCUGCCCCUUCAGGUCCAGCUCAGGCCCCACCUCCCCUUGAAGUCCUCAGGGACUGCCCUACACCCAUAGCUGGAGCAAUGGAUCCACAUACCCCUCAUGAGCCCUACUAUGGCUGGGGGUGAAUGCGGUGGUGAGCAAGUCACACCCAGCUCUGCCCAUUUGGAACCAGUGGAGGAGAUGGACCCAGUGUUCCAGUCCCAACACAGAGGGGCCUGGUGUCUUAUCCUCCCCUGUGGCUUGAUCUAGCUCAAAAGACUGGAACUCAAAUGCCUGCAGGGCCAGCAAGUAGCAAAAAGCUAGGGAUAAGGGAUGGGCAGGAACUUACUCAUGUUUGAUGGGGACACUGGUGACCCAGUUGUUACUACAGCCAGAUCUGACCCAGUUGUGACUACAGCCAGAUCUUUAGAUGUUUCAAGAGAAACCAGACAUUUUUUAAUAUUUAAAUGUAAGCCACUGAUUCAGCUUGCAAAAGAAACAAAUUCAAAACUUUGGUAGCCAGUCAAAACAAACCUGCAAACCAACUAAAGCUCUCAGGCCCUCAGCUUGCACCCCCUGGUGGAGACAGAGGCCUCCAGGUUUGAAGUGCAGCUCAGGUUCGUAUGUGUGGUUGGCUGUUUUUCUUCUCUGGUCUCUUUAGGGCAGUUGGGCUCAGUGGCCUCUUCCAACCCACACCGCUGAGCAGCAUAGACUUCCAACUAUUAGUCACCGUGUGCUACUGGAUCCCCAGCUUCAUGUCCAACAUUGUUGGCAUCUGUACCUCAAGGAUAGGACAGUGAGCAGGGACUUGAAGCUGCCCGCCUGGGCCAGGGAGAUCUUUCAUGAGGGCUUUCUAAGCUGCAUGGGCUCAGGGGUCCCUUCUGCCCUGGACAGCUGCACUGGCUUCAUUGACUUCUCAACAGGAUCAUCUUCCACUGCUCAGCCCAAUGCGCUGCCAUUAUAACAGUGACCAGCGGUGCCUGGCAUCUACCCAAAGCAGGAGACCCCUGCGGCAGAGUAUCACUACUUUCCAGAGCCGCCUGGUCCGGAUAUCACGGGACAUCCAGGAUCGGAACCGGGGCCUGGCGCUGCCCUCCGCCUACCUAGACCACGGGGUGGUGGAGAAUAGCAUCGCCCUGUGAGCGUGCGCGCACAGGCGCCCCAGCCCGCACCCGGAGGAGCCAGCCCUUCAGCCCGCAUCCGCAGUAAAAGCACCCUGCCUGUGCUCAGAGUUCCCGCACCCUGAGGCCCCAGGGCACCUUGUCGUCGGGCUCCCGGCUGAGUGUCCAGAGCACCAGUAGUGUAACGCAUGUUGUCUUCACAUCCGGCAACGUGUCCAUAAAGGUCUCCAGAGUGGUCAGCCCCUUGGUCUCCAUCGCUGCGUGCUUGGCAGAGCAGAUGUAGAUGACGAUGGUGACAUACCGUAUCAACUCAGGCACUGUUCGCAAGCAGGGCCAAAGUGCAGCAAGCAGAGGGGUGCACAGUGAUGCUGCUUCCGGCCGUUGAGCUCGACGGUGGGGAUGCCCUCCAAAAUGCGGUAGUCUGCCAGGAAAAUGUUCCCCUUCUGGAGGGGAGCUGCGAUGGGCAAGCAGCUGGGCACCAGCACCGCUACCCGGGGUGACCCACGCCUUGGAUGCAGGCACGUUCCCUCGCCCAGGAACGGGGCCACCAUGUCGUCUGUGACGGGGAACUUGUCUGGGAUCUGCGUGCAGCGGCGGAGAAGGCCUGGGUUGACGCCAUUGAGGAUUCAACAGCCACCUCCUCAGAGUGGCCUACCCUGACCAGACCAAAUGUCCCCGCCUCCGCCUCACCUCCAGUCAUGCGAACACCCUGCCUGGGUUCAUCUCCAAACUGCACUAGUAACCAUCUGCAGGCCAGGGAGCAUUCAUGCACUGGGAAGGACAGGCUGCCUCAGCGUGCCCUGACAUCAUCAAUCCCUGAGCUGUACACUGGUCCUGCGGUUCUAAGGGGCAAGGCACAUUCAGCCUCUGCCACAAGGAGGAGCCAAAUCUGGUGAUUUUGGCUAAAUUCUUAGGUUGGAACCUGAAGAUCUUGGAAGCCAAGGCCAAGCAGCUGGAAGAUCCCACUAACUGGAAGGAUGCACACUGACCAUGGUCUAGAGAAGGGCCGUGAGACUCUGCUGCCCAGCAAAGUCCUUGCCCAGAUGACACUCUGGGUGUGUUACCAGCUCCAUGUCCAACCCAGGUCAUCAGAGGGCUCUGCUCUAGUCCCUCAAAGACAAAAGCUCCUGGAAGCACCAUAUCAACACAGACUUCUAGAACAGCAGAGGCAGAGAGAAAAGAACUGUGGAGAGGCUCAUGACAGCAGUUAAACUACAGUCUGGGGAUGACCUGCAUCAUGUCUGCUCAUAGCUCAUUGGCCAAAACUCACCCAUGACUCUGCCCACUGGAGGGCCAGAGGUUAAGUCUUCCUUGUGUCCAGAAGAGAAACCGGAUUUCAGUGGCAACACUAAUGACUCCACACCCAGAAGCUGGGUUCUCAGGCUUUGCAAAAUACCUGUUUUUUCUCUGUCA